ACUCCGCCCCCUUCCCCUUUCCUCUCUCUAUUCUCUCAAACGCCAUAACAAAAUCAGUCACAAAACUUGAACAAAUUGUACAAGGUCACAAAACCCAACCCUAAAUCAUUCUUUUGCUUCCCUAUCCGCGAUUCUCACCGGUGUUUCCCCAUUUUGUCAUACAAAUUUGAAAUAUCGAAGUCCUAUGACCUAGAUGCAAACGUGAAACUUUUAGUCCUCAAAUCCUUCGAUGAUGCAAUGAAAUUCCUCAUGCAUGAGCACCUCAUGAUGAUUAUUCGAAACCAGAGGUCAAAUGCAAUGACCUUUGGAUUUCUGGUCUUUGUCCGAUGGUUUUCUCACAUGUAAUGGCUGUCACCCACUCAGAUUUGAGUCGUUAGGAGGCCGAUACGAUGGGAUUGGCUUCUUGGACUAUGAUUCACGUGUUUUGAGAUCUAUAUACAUCUAGACGUGGUGAUUGCUAGAUCCGUCCUAAUACCUGCUAGGAAACUUUAAGGUGGCUGCUAUGACAUCCGCAGACCUUGACUCUCUUUUCCUUUAUUUUCUUUAGUACUGUUCUAUUACUCAAACAGUUGUACUAAGGAUUUGGUUUAUGUUUUGAUACACAGUAUUGCUCAUGUACUCGUUGACACCCGAUUUUGGGG